AUUGAACGCUGGCGGAAUGCCUUACACAUGCAAGUCGAACGGCAGCACGGGGGCAACCCUGGUGGCGAGUGGCGAACGGGUGAGUAAUACAUCGGAACGUGCCCGGUCGUGGGGGAUAACGUAGCGAAAGUUACGCUAAUACCGCAUACGAUCUGAGGAUGAAAGCGGGGGACCUUCGGGCCUCGCGCGAUCGGAGCGGCCGAUGUCAGAUUAGGUAGUUGGCGGGGUAAAGGCCUACCAAGCCGACGAUCUGUAGCUGGUCUGAGAGGACGACCAGCCACACUGGGACUGAGACACGGCCCAGACUCCUACGGGAGGCAGCAGUGGGGAAUUUUGGACAAUGGGCGCAAGCCUGAUCCAGCCAUUCCGCGUGCAGGACGAAGGCCUUCGGGUUGUAAACUGCUUUUGUAUGGAACGAAAAGGCUCUGGCUAAUACCUGGGGCUCAUGACGGUACCGUAAGAAUAAGCACCGGCUAACUACGUG
rnacentral:rRNA from 1 species